AUACUUAUUUGGUCGGGUCAAUGGACUAUCAUCAAGGUUCAUGGCCUAGGUAAGCGACCUCCAUUGCACUUGGGAGGAGUGCUCGCCUUAGGUAUCCUCACAAUUGGAGAGCCUACGUUAUAAUUUGUGGUAAUGGGUGAGUUUGAGCUUGAAUCGAG